rnacentral:rRNA from 1 species
UAGGGAAUCUUCGGCAAUGGACGAAAGUCUGACCGAGCAACGCCGCGUGAGUGAAGAAGGUUUUCGGAUCGUAAAACUCUGUUGUUAGAGAAGAACAAGGACGUUAGUAACUGAACGUCCCCUGACGGUAUCUAACCAGAAAGCCACGGCUAACUACGUGCCAGCAGCCGCGGUAAUACGUAGGUGGCAAGCGUUGUCCGGAUUUAUUGGGCGUAAAGCGAGCGCAGGCGGUUUCUUAAGUCUGAUGUGAAAGCCCCCGGCUCAACCGGGGAGGGUCAUUGGCAACUGGGAGACUUGAGUGCAGAAGAUGAGAGUGGAAUUCCAUGUGUAGCGGUGAAAUGCGUAGAUAUAUGGAGGAACACCAGUGGCGAAGGCGGCUCUCUGGUCUGUAACUGACGCUGAGGCUCGAAAGCGUGGGGAGCAAACAGG